AUGUGGUGUGCCUGGGAAUAAUGUCACCAAUAGCAUAAGAAUUAAUGUCUACUAUGAUGCUGAAAUAAAUAAACUGGUAAAACUACUCUGCUGUCUAAAUCCCCAAGUUACAAAUUUACAGAGCUGCCGGCUUCCCCUUGAAGGAAUAGGAGUAGACCUGCUGAACUAUCACAUGAGAGAAGAGGCCCAAAAGCUUGCACACUACAGUCAAGCUGGCCCUUAAAGAGAUGGACCUAGAAGAUGCUGAGCCAGAUGUACUCAAUUACUUCUCCAAAAUUCAUCAAUUAGGAAUACAACAUGUUUAAGACCACAGAACAUCUGCAUAGGCUGUAAAUUUCGUUGAAUGAUGGAUGCAAAGAUGGAAGACAGAUGGAUAGAGGAAAAGACAGAAUCAGAUACUGGAUGAGUUAGUACUGCUGCCUGUGCUUCAGAGCUGUCUUAUUACCACAAGGCCGGCAAGCAUCAAUGUCCCCACAUCCCCCUCUGCCUCCCCCUGAAAUGUACCGAUUUAUAUGAAAAUUAAGAUUACAAAUUAAAGCCUGGCUAUCCUGGAGUUUUCCAGUUCAUCAGCCAUCCAAUAAAAAUGAUGUCAAGCCUGUAUGCAUAAUUCCCGGAAGAUUACUUUCGUCCUUACAGCUAAGCCCUGUCCCUGAUAUGAAAGAUCUCUAUCCACUUUUAUUGAAAUAAAGAACUAACAUCAUAAUCCCAAUAUUGAGGUAUAAUCUUCAUUAUCUCCUGACCCUCUUGAGGUUCCCCCAAUCUAUAUUACUUCAGAUUUGGUUUAUGUGUAAUCCUUAUGUAUUUACUUUUAUUGAGAUAGGAUUAAAAACUAAAAAAAAAGCUUCAA
rnacentral:lncRNA from 1 species